CGGAGAUCACACGGCGAGACCGGACCCAUGACAACAGAUCUCGCGCUCCCUCUCCUUCUUCUCUCUACGCGCUGUCACAGAGAUCUUUUUUAAAAAGGAAUUGAAUAGACAUUUUUUAAGAGCUGACUUUUUUGUCACCCCCUUUUCCUCUCCCUCUCCCGAUCUGACAAAGGCUCAGGGGAUUAUUUUAAUGGCUAUUCAAACAGCGAGACAAAAACGAAGAAGAAGAAGAAGAAGAAGAAGAAGAAGAAGAAGAAAAAGAAGAAGAAGAGCCUGGCCGCGAACGCAAGUGACAGUUCCCUGGGCGAGGAGAAAGCAGAGCUCAUGCCCGAUGACACGAAUCAAAGUAGAACUGGUUCGAUACAGCAGCGCCUUGGUGAUGCACCAGCCGUGCCAACCAUGGACUGCCUCUCCUCGGACCACACACACUGGCAUUGAGGGCGUAUUGUCAACUAAACAGAAGCCUUACAAACAGGCUCUGAUCACAAAGAGUGUCCCAGUGAAAGCUCCAUGUGUAUGCGUUCCUCAACAGAGCCAAUACACUAUGUCGAUGUUCAGGUAAACAGCGAGGACCACACCCUCUUCUGGGAUCCUUCCAGCCGUGGUACUAUGUUAAAGUCGAGCUUCUGAGUGUCUCAAAACUUCUGUUUGGAGAUUCUACUGAAGAAAUCCUCAUUUGCACGAACAGAUGAGGCUUUCAGAGGGAGGGGUAUUACUACUGUGGGCGGUCUGCACAGCGUUGACUCAAGAUACUGUGGUAUAGUUUACUGCUGCUGGCGCCAAUAACAGGCUUAUGGAUCCCCACCUGUUCACCCAGAUUUGAG
ensembl:lncRNA